UACGGAGGGUGCAAGCGUUAUCCGGAUUUACUGGGUUUAAAGGGUGCGUAGGUGGAUAAGAAAGUCAGUGGUGAAAUCUUCGGGCUUAACCCGGAAACUGCCGUUGAUACUAUAGAUCUUGAAUAUCCUGGAGGUGAGCGGAAUAUGUCAUGUAGCGGUGAAAUGCUUAGAUAUGACAUAGAACACCAAUUGCGAAGGCAGCUCACUACGGGAUCAUUGACACUGAGGCACGAAAGCGUGGGGAUCAAACAGG
rnacentral:rRNA from 1 species